AACUUUUCACUUUUCAUAUUCUCUCUCUUUGUUGUAUCGUUCUCUCUCUUAAUCUAUCGUUACCUCCUUCUCCAAACUAACCCUAAUUUCAAUAUUUUUCCCCAAUUUCAUCUCAAAGCUGCAAAUUCGACAUAGUUGAUUUGUCACUUUUUCCCUACUUUCGCGCAAAGGGUUGGUUAUGCUUAUAGCUAUCGCUUGACAUUGCUUUGAUUUCCAAGUUCUACAAAGCUAAAAAGGAAAAGAAGAUUUCAAGACAUGAAUUGAUACAAAAAGUGAGACAAAUUGCUAGAGACAAGUUGCUGAUUUCGGCCAUCAAGUCUUACAAAACAAAGGAGACGGCCUCACAGACUCAUUGCGCAAUCUAUCUAGCACUGAGGUCAAGAGUGUUGUUGACUGGAGGGAUUUCUACCACAAAUCUUACAAGUUCUUUAACUUGAAGAUGAGCAAUGAUGAGAAAAGUUUUGGCAUGCAAAGAAGAGGUGGAAAGGUGAAGAAAUUGAGUGGCUCCAAUCAGUUGGAAUUCUCUUGUAGCUUAAGGACUUUGAUUUUAUGCAACUUGAAUUCAACUUGUUUCAACUUAGGAUAUGUAGCUAGUAGUCUAGUACUGUAUGUAAUCUUGAAUUUGAAUCUUGUUUCACUUAGAAAUUCUCUUUUGUAAUUCAAGAACUUGAUGUAAUUGAAAUCGAUAGGUUUGUACUAAUUUUGUAUCACUUUUUCUAAACUUAUUAACAUUAAUUAUGUCAUUUCAUACUAGUGUAU